rnacentral:rRNA from 1 species
GACGAACGUUGGCGGCGUGCUUAGUACAUGCAAGUCAACUGAAGCAGUGGUAGCAAUAUCGCUGUGGAGGUGGCGCACGGGUGAGUAACACGUAGGUAAUCUGCCUUCAGGUCUGGCAUAACUCCGGGAAACCGGGGCUAAUAGCAGAUGAUGCAGCGGCUCGACAUCGAGACAGUUGUUAAAGCUAUGGCGCCUGAAGAUGAGCCUGCGUCUGAUUAGCUAGUUGGCGGGGUAACGGCCCACCAAGGCAACGAUCAGUAGCUGGUCUGAGAGGAUGAUCAGCCACACUGGAACUGAGACACGGUCCAGACUCCUACGGGAGGCAGCAGUAAGGAAUAUUGCUCAAUGGGAGAAAUCCUGAAGCAGCAACGCCGCGUGAGGGACGAAGGGCUUUUGCUUGUAAACCUCUGUAGGGAGAGAAAAAAAUCCCAAUCUUUGGGACAUGAUGGUAUCUCAAAAGUAAGCCCCGGCUAACUACGUG